rnacentral:rRNA from 1 species
GAUGAACGCUGGCGGCGUGCCUAAUACAUGCAAGUCGAGCGAACAGAUGAGGCGCUUGCUCCUCUGACGUUAGCGGCGGACGGGUGAGUAACACGUGGAUAACCUACCUAUAAGACUGGGAUAACUUCGGGAAACCGGAGCUAAUACCGGAUAAUAUAUUGAACCGCAUGGUUCAUUAGUGAAAGACGGUUUUGCUGUCCCUUAUAGAUGGAUCCGCGCCGCAUUAGCUAGUUGGUAAGGUAACGGCUUACCAAGGCAACGAUGCGUAGCCGACCUGAGAGGAUGAUCAGCCACACUGGAACUGAGACACGGUCCAGACUCCUACGGGAGGCAGCAGUAGGGAAUCUUCCGCAAUGGGCGAAAGCCUGACGCAGCAACGCCGCGUGAGUGAUGAAGGUCUUCGGAUCGUAAAACUCUGUUAUUAGGGAAGAACAAAUGUGUAAGUAACUAUGCACGUCUUGACGGUACCUAAUCAGAAAGCCACGGCUAACUACGUG